rnacentral:rRNA from 1 species
UACGUAGGUGGCGAGCGUUAUCCGGAAUUACUGGGCGUAAAGCGCACGCAGGCGGUCUUUUAAGUUUGACGUGAAAGCUCCCGGCUUAACUGGGAGAGGUCGUUGAAUACUGGGAGACUUGAGGCAAUGAGAGGGAUGCAGAAUUCCUGGUGUAGUGGUGGAAUGCGUAGAUAUCAGGAGGAAUACCAGUGGCGAAAGCGGCAUCCUAGCGUUGGCCUGACGCUCAUGUGCGAAAGCGUGGGGAGCGAACGGGAUUAGAUACCCCGGUAGUCCACGCCGUAAACGAUGAACACUAGGUGUAGGUGAUGUGAAAGUUAUCUGUACCGAAGCAAACGCGUUAAGUGUUCCGCCUGGGGAGUACGGCCGCAAGGCUAAA